rnacentral:rRNA from 1 species
UGGGGAAUAUUGGACAAUGGGGGGAACCCUGAUCCAGCAAUGCCGCGUGUGUGAAGAAGGCCUGAGGGUUGUAAAGCACUUUUGUUGUGGAAGAGGGUUUACAGGUUAAGAGCUAGUGAACUGGACGGUACAUAACGAAUAAGCACCGGCUAACUCCGUGCCAGCAGCCGCGGUAAUACGGGGGGUGCAAGCGUUAAUCGGAAUUAUUGGGCGUAAAGGGUGCGUAGGUGGUUUAAUAAGUUAGCUGUGAAAUACCUGGGCUCAACUUGGGGAGGUCAGCUAAUACUAUUAGACUAGAGUAUGGGAGAGGGCAGAGGAAUUUCCGGUGUAGCGGUGAAAUGCGUAGAGAUCGGAAGGAACACCGGUGGCGAAGGCGACUGCCUGGCCUAAUACUGACACU